UACGUAGGGUGCAAGCGUUAAUCGGAAUUACUGGGCGUAAAGCGUGCGCAGGCGGCUUUGCAAGACAGAUGUGAAAUCCCCGGGCUUAACCUGGGAACUGCAUUUGUGACUGCAUGGCUAGAGUGCGGCAGAGGGGAUGGAAUUCCGCGUGUAGCAGUGAAAUGCGUAGAUAUGCGGAGGAACACCGAUGGCGAAGGCAAUCCCUGGGCCUGCACUGACGCUCGAUGACACGAAAGCGUGGGAGCAAACAG
rnacentral:rRNA from 1 species